rnacentral:rRNA from 1 species
GACAGAGGGUGCAAACGUUGUUCGGAAUUACUGGGCGUAAAGCGCGUGUAGGCGGCAAUACAAGUCGGAUGUGAAAUCCCGCGGCUUAACCGUGGAAGUGCACCCGAAACUGUAUCGCUAGGGUCCCGGAGAGGAUGGUGGAAUACUUGGUGUAGAGGUGAAAUUCGUAGAUAUCAAGUGGAACACCGGUGGCGAAGGCGGCCAUCUGGACGGUGACUGACGCUGAGACGCGAAAGCGUGGGUAGCAAACAGG